GACGAACGCUGGCGGCGUGCUUAACACAUGCAAGUCGAACGGAAAGGCCCUGCUUUUGUGGGGUGCUCGAGUGGCGAACGGGUGAGUAACACGUGAGUAACCUGCCCUUGACUUUGGGAUAACUUCAGGAAACUGGGGCUAAUACCGGAUAGGAGCUCCUGCUGCAUGGGGGGGGUUGGAAAGUUUCGGCGGUUGGGGAUGGACUCGCGGCUUAUCAGCUUGUUGGUGGGGUAGUGGCUUACCAAGGCUUUGACGGGUAGCCGGCCUGGGAGGGUGACCGGCCACAUUGGGACUGAGAUACGGACCAGACGCCUACGGGAGGCAGCAGUGGGGAAUAUUGCAGAAUGGGCGGAAGCCUGAGGCAGCAACGCCGCGUGCGGGAUGACGGCCUUCUGGUUGUAAACCGCUUUCGCCUGUGACGAAGCGUGAGUGACGGUAAUGGGUAAAGAAGCACCGGCUAACUACGUG
rnacentral:rRNA from 1 species